rnacentral:rRNA from 1 species
AGGGGAACAGGCUUGAAGGCCUGGCCGCAGAGGGUGCCAGCCCCGUACCUGGACGCUUGCCGUCUUCCGAUCGCGUGUCCCAAGUAGCGCGGGCCUCGUGGAAUCCCGCGUGAAUCCGCACCGACCGUGGUGUAAGUCUAAGCAUACCUGUCUGACCGAUAGCGUACCAGUACCGUGAGGGAAAGGUGAAAAGCACCCCGGGAGGGGAGUGAAAGAGUUCCUGAAACCGUGCGCCUACGAUCCGUCGGAGCCUCCUUGUGGGGUGACGGCGUGCCUAUCGAAAAAUGAGUCUGCGAGUCAGUGAUGCGUGGCGAGGCUAACCCGUCGUGGGGCAGCCGUAGCGAAGGCGAGUCCGAACAGGGCGUUUCUGUAGUCGCGUGUCCUGGACCCGAAGCGGGAUGAUCUAGCCCUGGGCAGGUUGAAGCGCGGGUAAGACCGCGUGGAGGACCGAACCCACCUGGGUUGAAAACCGGGGGGAUGACCUGGGGCUAGGGGUGAAAGGCCAAUCAAAUUCCGUGAUAGCUGGUUCUCUCCGAAAUGCAUUUAGGUGCAGCGUCGGCUUAUUGCAUCGCGGGGGUAGAGCUACCGGAUGCUUGCGGGCCCUUGUGGGGUACCAACAGCAGCCGAACUCCGAAUACCGUUGAUGUGUAUGCCGGCAGUGAGUCGGCGGGGGAUAAGCUCCGUCGUCGAGAGGGAGACAGCCCAGACCGUCGUCCGAGGUCCCCAAGCGUGUGCUAAGUGGGAAAGGAUGUGGGGCCGCAUAGACAGCCAGGAGGUUGGCUCAGAAGCAGCCAUCCUUGAAAGAGUGCGUAACAGCUCACUGGUCUAGUGGUCCCGCGCCGACAAUGUAGCGGGGCUCAAGCACACCACCGAAGACGCGGCGGCAUGCCUUUGGCGUGCCGGGUAGGAGAGCGUCCUGCAAGGGGCGAAGCGGCCGGGUGACCGUGCCGUGGACUUUGCGGGAGUGAGAAUGCAGACAUGAGUAGCGAGAGACGGGUGAGGAUCCCGUCCGCCGGAUGACCAAGGGUUCCGGGGCCACGUUCGUCGUCCCCGGGUGAGUCGGGUCCUAAGGCGAGGCCGACAGGCGUAGUCGAAUGGAUGAACGGGUGGAUAUUCCCGUACCGGCAGCGAACCGACAGGACCGAGGCGGUGAGUACUAACCUCCGUCGCGGGCCGUUCCCCUCCUUCGGGUGGGGUCCGGCGCGUGGCGUUGGGAGCGUAGCCGUGGUAGGUGAGCGCAGGGGUGACACGGAAUGGGAGCCGGCCGCGGAGGUGGUUUUCCGUGGUCAAGCACGCAGCCAGUCAUGCAGGCAAAUCCGCAUGGCGCGUAUGGCGAGGUGCGAUGAUGGGAGCCGUUUCGGCUCGAUAUCCGGUGGUCCAGGCCGUCGAGAAAAGCCCCGGCGUCAGGCGCGUUGCCGCCCGUACCCCAAACCGACACUGGUGGUCAGGUAGAGAAUACCAAGGCGAUCGAGCGAAUCCUGGUCAAGGAACUCGGCAAACCGCUCCCGUGCCUUCGGCAUAAGGGAGACCCCCGCGGGUGAACGGACAUGCUCCGGGAGCGUGUGGGGGUGGCACAGACCAGGGGGUAGCGACUGUUUACCAAAAACACAGGUGCAUGCGAAGGCGUAAGCCGCUGUAUAUGCACUGACGCCUGCCCGGUGCCGGAAGGUUAAGAGGAUCCGUCAGCCCCUUGGGGGUGAAGCGGUGAAUUCAAGCCCCGGUAAACGGCGGUGGUAACUAUAACCAUCCUAAGGUAGCGAAAUUCCUUGUCGGGUAAGUUCCGACCUGCACGAAUGGCGUAACGACUUCCCCGCUGUCUCGACCAGGAGCUCGGCGAAAUUGCAGUACGAGUAAAGAUGCUCGUUAAGCGCAGAAGGACGAAAAGACCCCGGGACCUUUACUAUACCUUGGUAUUGGCGUCAGUCGCGGAUUGUGUAGCAUAGGCGGGAGGCUUCGAGGCGCGGGCGCCAGCCCGCGCGGAGCCGCAAGGUGAAAUACCGCUCUGUUCUCGUUUGACGUCUCACCUCGAACGGUCAUCCUGUUCAGGGACAGUGCCUGGGAUAGGAACGAUCGGCACCACGAGGCUCCACUUGCAUCUUUUCUUGCUUAAAUACUUCCGUCAAAGGAUUGAA